CUUGGCCUCACAAUGGCAGCAUUGCAGGGGAUACAUUCUGGCCGAGUGUGAGUACAACCUAUGGAUGUGGUUGGAGAGAACAUGUGUUCCACCUCAAUGGCAGAUCAGGAUUAUUCCUUCUCAUCUGCUGCAAUGGCUCAAUGUGUUAAGGAGAGGAGCGAGACAGCAAGAACCGCAUUCAUUCAGUCAUACAGACCAAAAGGAGGAAUGUCGCCCAGCCCUCUAAACUGACCCAGAACCCAGCUCAUGUCUCAACUGCUACCUCUCCU
rnacentral:lncRNA from 1 species